UAUCAAUUCUUUCUAAUAUGACCUUACAUGAGUUAACAGCUGGACUCUGUAGCUUCAUUAAAUCAAUUAAUUACACCGAGAUUUUAGAGAAAGUAUGGAUCCGAAGUUCAAAACCAUAUCCAAUUAGCUUGUCUCCCAGAAAACUACAAGGAUUGCUAAAGGAUGAUUUACCCAUGGACCGUGAUUGCUUUAAUUUGAUCGUACGGAAGAUUAUGUUGGAUGACAUCCAAACAUCACAAAAAACAAAGCAACUGAUAGCAAAGCAUUAUCUCGACAUGAAAUUUUGGAUGACUACUGAUUUUGGAAGGCACCCAGAUUUUCGUAAAAAGUUAGAUGUGGAGCAACUAGCAAAUUCUGUUCGUAGUUGGCCUGGUAUCAAAUAUAAUGUUUCAACAUGCAAAUCGGUAAGAGCACUUUUGU